rnacentral:lncRNA from 11 species
UUCUGCUCACUUCCUGCAUUAAUGCAUUUGGUUUUCCCUCUCCAAGUUGGACAAGUUACUGUGAAAAUGCAGGUGCUGCACUGCCUCCAGGCUUGUUCCUCCGGUUAUUUGGGGCAAUGCUUUGGAAAAUUGCUUUGGGAGAGAAGCAACACCCGCAAUGGAGACCUGGAACUCACCCGAAUAUCAUAGGUCAAUGUUUUGAGUCUUAAGUUUUUUUGCAUGUGGAUCCCUUGUGUUUCUUAAUAUUGUUUUGUAUGUACGAAUCUAACAAAUUAGAUGUGAAAAUGGAUUAAAAACAAUUUUGCACAGCCC